AUUAUUUAAAAAAAACAAAAACAAAACAUAGACCGCUAUAUAUUCAUGGUGUCAGGCGGGAAACACGUGGAAGGUGAGAGGAAGACAGCAAGCGCUGAUCAUACGCUCGUUACGACGGACGCGUGUAAUUUUGAGUCUUUGUCGAGUCGGGAGCAGUAAUGCAAAUUGUCCUGUCACUUCGUUUAAUGCCGGAUGGAGUAGGAGGCAUGUGUGCUUGUGAGAGGUGAGAGGAGGUGGUGGUGGGGGGAGAAGGCGGGAAUCAGGCCGAAUCUCUUCAAAACUCACACAAAAACACGAACACGUACUUUCAGUGGUAGAACCUGAGGGCAAAGCUGAGCCUCAACCUGAACUUGGGGAGUUCAUUUUGUUUCUGUAUGUCUGGAGCAAAAGAAAUAGCCCAGGGAUAUUUCAAGUAGUUUUUUUUUUUUGCCUUCUUUCCUGCCUGCCUGUUCACUUAAUGUUUCAGUAAAACCUCUGGAAUUACAGGCAGUAAGGUAAUUUUGGCUUUAUUUAUUUAUUUAUUUUCCAGCGCUCCCAAUUGUUCUGACAGCCAACCGUGCUCGUGAGAUUCUUCCUUUUGGCGUUUGUGGUGUGUGGAAGGGCGCUAAUAAAUCAGACAAGGCAAAAGAUGAAAAUCAUGAAAAAUAACAAGAAGAAGAAGAAGGUUAGGAGAAGCUCAAAUAUAUCCAGCACUGGAGGCGUCACUAAAACUAACAUAUGCAGUUGGAUUUCCCAAAACGGUUUAAGCAAUCCACCUCUCAAUAAUCAUAAUAACAACUAGACACUCUUUACAUUUGAGUGUUUCUUUUUCCUCACCUUCCUCACACAAGCAGAAAAGCCUGAGGUUGAAGAGAAAUUUAAAUCAUUCCUCUUCCAAAUAAGAGGACCAACCCUUUAAAACCUCUAUUACAGGUAUGAAAAUUAUUUUUUAUCAUCGUUGGCUUCCACUGCUCUUGCUACGUGUAAGAGCACGGCCUCUGAGUAUUAGCGGAGGCGGUUAAAGAGAAAAAGUUCAUUAAAUACCUCGGGGAUUAGCUGCCAGAGUUGGCCCGGCGUUUCGGCUGGCAACGGUUAAACCUUUUGCACCUGCUUCACCCUGUGCUGACAUCCUUCUGCUUUUUUUGUUGCCUGUUUUUUCCUUUUCUUGUCUUUUUUUUUUUUUAAAGAGCUGCUUUUAGAAGAAGAAGAACUCUUCACCUGAAUGGUAAUGAAAUCAGCCAAUUUAGCCUGAAACAUAAAGUUGGAGGGGGGGGGCAGUUCGGAUAGAUGGCAUUGAAGCAUGCACUCGAAAUGUGGACUUCAAAAGAGGAAGAGAAAAAGAGAGAAAGAGGGAGAGUUGCAUCGAAGCACGGCGGUGGCUGCGGUGUGAGGGGAGAAAGUUCCGGAGAGGUGGGUAAAUCUGUAAAGCGCUGGACCUGAGAGGGAGAGCUAGUCACCUCAUCAGGCGUAGAUUUUACAGCCCCCGUUGCCCUAAUCCUGACAAGCCGUCCGCCAUUAGGGAAGCUGCGCCUCUCUCCUCCACCUCAACCCCCCCCCUGCAUGAGGGAGAAUUUCAUCUCACUGCUGAAGAUGUCAUGCAGAGGACAAGGUGGGGGGGGGGGGGGGGGGGGGGGGUGAGUGCAUUUAUUUGAUUAAAGCUGAUGAUAAAAAAAAAGAGGGGGGGGGGGCAGGGAGAAGGUGUGGGAUAUACUGUGAUUAGGACUUGAGUCUUCCUCUCACGAAACACACACUGUAUAUACUGUUUGUUUUCUAAGUGGGAUCCAAAUCAAUAUUCCAACUCCAGGAGAGCCUUCAAAGGCAGCCAAAAGUGGCCAAGUGAAAAUACUUGUUUGGGAAAUCGAAGCGCAGGAGCAUUGGAUUUGGUUUGGUUCAAAACAACAACAGGAAAGAAAAAAAACAAAACAAAAGAAAAACAUGGAAGUACAGACAAACACAGCGACAAUGCAAUGCAGCGGUCCAUAUUUGAGCUUAAUUAAUUGCCUAAUGCCAAUAAUAUUGCUGUAAUGUGAUGCUAAUUGCAGGGUAAUUAUGUAAACGAUGGUUAACUAUGAUGAUCAGCGCUCAAAUUAGUAUUCAAAUCAUUUCAGCGAGGGGCCCACCUCUCAUAAUUGCAUUAAAAGAUGUACACAAGUUAGAAAAGCAAGCAGAAGAACCUUCUUUCUGUGUGUGUGUGUGUGUGUGUGUGUGUGUGUCUGCAGGAAAUGUGCAAAUGCCCUCCUCCCCUCACCCAAACGUGACACACACAUCACCGAGCAUCACGUACACACCCUAUCUUCCACCUCUGUACUUUUUUUACAGUCAGA
ensembl:lncRNA